rnacentral:rRNA from 1 species
AGUGCGAAUGCUGACAUAAGUAACGAUAAAGCGGGUGAAAAGCCCGCUCGCCGGAAGACCAAGGGUUCCUGUCCAACGUUAAUCGGGGCAGGGUGAGUCGACCCCUAAGGCGAGGCCGAAAGGCGUAGUCGAUGGGAAACAGGUUAAUAUUCCUGUACUUGGUGUUACUGCGAAGGGGGGACGGAGAAGGCUAUGUUGGCCGGGCGACGGUUGUCCCGGUUUAAGCGUGUAGGCUGGUUUUCCAGGCAAAUCCGGAAAAUCAAGGCUGAGGCGUGAUGACGAGGCACUACGGUGCUGAAGCAACAAAUGCCCUGCUUCCAGGAAAAGCCUCUAAGCAUCAGGUAACAUCAAAUCGUACCCCAAACCGACACAGGUGGUCAGGUAGAGAAUACCAAGGCGCUUGAGAGAACUCGGGUGAAGGAACUAGGCAAAAUGGUGCCGUAACUUCGGGAGAAGGCACGCUGAUAUGUAGGUGAAGUCCCUUGCGGAUGGAGCUGAAAUCAGUCGAAGAUACCAGCUGGCUGCAACUGUUUAUUAAAAACACAGCACUGUGCAAACACGAAAGUGGACGUAUACGGUGUGACGCCUGCCCGGUGCCGGAAGGUUAAUUGAUGGGGUCAGCGCAAGCGAAGCUCUUGAUCGAAGCCCCGGUAAACGGCGGCCGUAACUAUAACGGUCCUAAGGUAGCGAAAUUCCUUGUCGGGUAAGUUCCGACCUGCACGAAUGGCGUAAUGAUGGCCAGGCUGUCUCCACCCGAGACUCAGUGAAAUUGAACUCGCUGUGAAGAUGCAGUGUACCCGCGGCAAGACGGAAAGACCCCGUGAACCUUUACUAUAGCUUGACACUGAACAUUGAGCCUUGAUGUGUAGGAUAGGUGGGAGGCUUUGAAGUGUGGACGCCAGUCUGCAUGGAGCCGACCUUGAAAUACCACCCUUUAAUGUUUGAUGUUCUAACGUGGACCCGUGAUCCGGGUUGCGGACAGUGUCUGGUGGGUAGUUUGACUGGGGCGGUCUCCUCCUAAAGAGUAACGGAGGAGCACGAAGGUUGGCUAAUCCUGGUCGGACAUCAGGAGGUUAGUGCAAUGGCAUAAGCCAGCUUGACUGCGAGCGUGACGGCGCGAGCAGGUGCGAAAGCAGGUCAUAGUGAUCCGGUGGUUCUGAAUGGAAGGGCCAUCGCUCAACGGAUAAAAGGUACUCCGGGGAUAACAGGCUGAUACCGCCCAAGAGUUCAUAUCGACGGCGGUGUUUGGCACCUCGAUGUCGGCUCAUCACAUCCUGGGGCUGAAGUAGGUCCCAAGGGUAUGGCUGUUCGCCAUUUAAAGUGGUACGCGAGCUGGGUUUAGAACGUCGUGAGACAGUUCGGUCCCUAUCUGCCGUGGGCGCUGGAGAACUGAGGGGGGCUGCUCCUAGUACGAGAGGACCGGAGUGGACGCAUCACUGGUGUUCGGGUUGUCAUGCCAAUGGCACUGCCCGGUAGCUAAAUGCGGAAGAGAUAAGUGCUGAAAGCAUCUAAGCACGAAACUUGCC